UGCCGCGUGUAUGAAGAAGGCCUUCGGGGUUGUAAAGUACUUUCAGCGGGGGAGGAAGGCGAUAAGGUUAAUAACCUUGUUGAUUGACGUUACCCGCAAAAGAAGCACCGGCUAACUCCGUGCCAGCAGCCGCGGUAAUACGGAGGGUGCAAGCGUUAAUCGGAAUUACUGGGCGUAAAGCGCACGCAGGCGGUCUGUCAAGUCGGAUGUGAAAUCCCCGGGCUCAACCUGGGAACUGCAUUCGAAACUGGCAGGCUGGAGUCUUGUAGAGGGGGGGUAGAAUUCCAGGU
rnacentral:rRNA from 1 species